rnacentral:rRNA from 1 species
GGCGAACGGGUGAGUAACACGUGGGUGAUCUGCCCUGCACUCUGGGAUAAGCCUGGGAAACUGGGUCUAAUACCGGAUAGGACCAUGCUUUAGUGUGUGUGGUGGAAAGUUUUUUCGGUGUAGGAUGAGCCCGCGGCCUAUCAGCUUGUUGGUGGGGUAAUGGCCUACCAAGGCGGCGACGGGUAGCCGGACUGAGAGGUUGGUCGGCCACAUUGGGACUGAGAUACGGCCCAG